rnacentral:lncRNA from 1 species
GCUUCCCUGAUGGGGAGCAGGGAUGGGGACAGGGAGCCUCUAGUGUUUGAUUCCCUCUCCCCUAUCAAAAUGUGAGUGACAUACAGUGUAUCUCUGUCUCGGGUGGGAGUCUCGGGCUCAGCAUCUCCACCUUACAGAAGCCCUCUACACCCUUCUGGGUCUGUGCUGGCUAUGGCUCUGCAGGAGACAGUUCUUUCAAAAGACUUCAGUUGCGUUGCUUCUCCAGAAGUUUCCCAGGGUCUGGAUCUUGCUAACUUCUUUCCACGCCAAACCUCUGAAACAAAUGCUAUUUGUUGUGUAUGUGAAUUCAGCCCAAAAUUUCAGAAUGCCUAAAACUCAAUUUGACUUUUUCCUGCGAGGCUUCAUACUGAUUUUAGCACCCCACGCUGUUGCAGUCUUGCAAGGAUGCCUUUGUCCCUUUUCCCUAG